rnacentral:rRNA from 1 species
UAGUUUAUUGAAAUUAUUUUAUAAUAAAUAACUUCUGCCCAGUGAUUAAUUUUAACGGCCGCAGUACUUUGACUGUGCUAAGGUAGCAUAAUAAUUUGGCUUUUAAUUGAAGUCGGGAAUGAAAGAAUGUAGUGGAAUAAAACUGUCUCCUUUUUUAUUUUUUUAAAUUAAUUAUAAUGUGAAAAUACAUUAAAUUAAAAAUAUAGACGAGAAGACCCUUAGAAUUUUAAAAACUAAUUUCGAAAAUUAAUUUUUUUGUUGGGGCAACAUCAUAUAAAAUAAUAUGAUAAUAUUAAUAUUACUUAAAAUUAUAAUAUAAUAAAGAAAAGAAUAAAUUACCUAAGGGAUAACAGCAUAAUUUAUAAAAGAUUGUGACCUCGAUGUUGGAUUAGGAAAAAAAAGCUCUAACAGAGUUUUUUUUUAGUUCUGUUCGAACUUUAUCUCUU